rnacentral:rRNA from 1 species
AUCAACUUUCGAUGGUAGGAUAGAGGCCUACCAUGGUGGUAACGGGUAACGGGGUGUUAGGGCACGACACCGGAGAGGGAGCCUGAGAAACGGCUACCACAUCUAAGGAUGGCAGCAGGCGCGCAAAUUACCCAAUCCCGACACGGGGAGGUAGUGACAAUAAAUAACAAUACGGGGUUCUUUCGGAUCUCGUAAUUGGAAUGAGUACAAUUUAAAUCUCUUAACGAGGAACAAUUGGAGGGCAAGUCUGGUGCCAGUAGCCGCGGUAAUUCCAGCUCCAAUAGCGUAUAUUAAAGUUGUUGCAGUUAAAAAGCUCGUAGUUGAAUUUCGGGGUUAGUAGGUUGGUCAUGCCUCUGGUAUGUACUGGUCUCACUGAUUCCUCCUUCCUGAUGAACCGUAAUGCCAUUAAUUUGGUGUUGCGGGGAAUUUGGACUGUUACUUUGAAAAAAUUAGAGUGUUUAAAGCAAGCUAACGCUUGAAUACAUUAGCAUGGAAUAAUGAAAUAGGACGUUCGAUCCUAUUUUGUUGGUUUCUAGGAUUGACGUAAUGAUUAAUAGGGAUAGUUGGGGGCAUUAGUAUUCAAUUGUCAGAGGUGAAAUUCUUGGAUUUAUUGAAGACUAACUACUGCGAAAGCAUUUGCCAAGGAUGUUUUCAUUAAUCAAGAACGAAAGUUAGGGGAUCGAAGACGAUCAGAUACCGUCGUAGUCUUAACCAUAAACUAUGCCGACUGGGGAUCGGAUGAUGUUAAUUUUUUAAUGACUCAUUCGGCGCCUUACGGGAAACCAAAGUGUUUGGGUUC